ensembl:lncRNA
CAAGUUUUUUCUUUUCUCAGUCACAAAGACUUGCAGGAUUUGAGUUUGGUCUAAAGUCAAAAUAAUUAGGAUACCUCAUUCACAAGUUAUACUUGCUUCAUUUACUUAAAAAUGCAUAUACAGCAUUUGACAGAGUAGAGUGGUAUUUUAUUUGGUUAACUUAGGGAUUGAAGUUUGUGUAGUUUAAACUCAUUCCGCUUCUAAGAAUGAUAAAGGACAGGAACACUAUAAUCAUCUCGUUAUAUGAGGCCAGAACAGGUGCAGGAUAUGGAAGAAUGAAUGUUCUUUCUCCUCACAUCUGUUCUCUGAUGAACUAUUUAACUCUUCUUGCAGGAACCUGUUUAAAAGCUUUUCCUAAGGCUUCUCUGUAGGCAGACAAUUAACCGCAGUACUCACAUGCAGCACUUUGGAUGCACUGGAAGUAGCAUAUGCAUGUGUCCUUUCUGUUUCUCAGCAUGGAAUGAGAAAAACAGGAACGUAUGCUGAGGGAUUCUCUCUGUACUUUCCUUCCAGGAAGGGAUCUUGAAGGUUUUGUUUUUCCCAUCUGCAUACUGGGAAUGCCAUCUGACGAGAAAGACGAAAAGAGUGCCAGCUUACAGCAGAAAAGUAUCAGAGGAAUUUCUGCCACACACACUUUCCCUGCAGUGAAAUAGAAGCAUGUGCUUACGGGAGAAGACUAUAAAGUUUGGUAUGAGCUGACACUUCAACUUCCCCAAACCUUGAAGUGCUGGAAUCCUGCAUAUGGGCCUAGCCCAUUGCUACUUUAUGAGCUCACACAGUCAAAAUUUCAACUACUGGUGAAAAUCCUUCCUACUUAACCUUGGAAAUGUGAAAGUUGAGAUUUCAGAUUUUUCUCUAAAAUAACUGAAAAUAAACCUUAUUAGAUGGUGAUUUAGAAUUCUUGGACUGACUUCUUACAAUGGGACAAAUUUCACUUUGAAGACACCUGUCUUUACUCUGACUCAAUGCAGAAUUUACAGACAGACAUUACAGACAGUUAAGAAAAGUGAGAUGAAUCUACCUAUUGGUACAUUUUCAUGUCUGUAGAAAAAUGAUAACAGGUUUGGUAUAAUUUCUAAUUUGACCUUUGCAGUUGAGUGUUCCAUGAGCUGACACUGAUCAGCUGAAAUGGAUCUCUAUCUCAGUGAGAAAUCUGACACACGGAAAGAUUUGAAUGCAGAG